AAUCUAAAUUCAAAAAAUUGGCUUCUCACAAAACAACAUAGUUUCACUUUUUCUCACUUUAGUAUUAUGUGGUUUAAAGUGUAUCUAGUUAGUAGUACCUUGUGGUUUUGCACUUUUUUACUUUAGUACCCUAUGGUUUAAAGUGUAUCAAUUUAGUACCCUGUGGUUUCACAUUUUUUCAUUUUAGUACUAUGUGGUUUAAAAAUCACAUGGUACUAACUUGAUACAAAAAUAAAAUCACAGGGUACUAACUUGAUACAAAAAUAAAACCACAAAGUACUAACUUGAUACACUUUAAACCAGAGGGUACUAAAGUGAGAAAGUGUGAAACCACUGGUUACUAACUUGAUACACUUUAAACCAUAGGGUACUAAAAUGAAAAAAGUACGAAACCACAAGGGAUUUUUGAAGUUUUCCCCAUUUUUUUACUGUUAAACUUUAAUUUGCCUUUCUGUGGUUUAGCAUAUUUUUUACUUUAUCAUUCUGUGGUUCAACAAGGUGGACUUAACUAUUUUUUUGUUUAGUACGUUUUUACUUUGCUAUCUUAUAAUUCAAAAGACUAUAUUUAACUAUCCUAUAAUUUUUUUAUAAAUUUAUUUUUUAUGUAAGCUUCUAUUGUU
rnacentral:lncRNA from 1 species